GAAGCCCCUCCAAGACUGCCAGCCUCCACCCCAUGGACCUCAUGCAGCAUGGAUAUGAGACCUAGGUUCACUAGUGUGGGGAGGGGAGGUGAAUACGCAUACCAUUUUAUGUCAUUUUGCUCAAUUAGAAAUGUACUAGCAAUUGAGUUAAGGAGAGAGACCUGAGCUUCCAACAUACAAUUUCUAUUCCAUUUUCUUUUCUAGGGAGAAGAACAAUGAAAAAAAAAAAAAACCUAAGCAGAUUUAACUUCUGGGAUGAUCUGUGAUUCCACAAGUUUAAAUAUAUUAUAAAAUGUCACUUUUUCUUUAAUUCCAUUGGAUUCCAUGCAAGUGUUAUCUGAAAAUAAUUUUAAAAAUCUCAAUAACACAUUUAAAAAUGCAUAUAGGAUUAAACCACUUAUAGGAAAUUUUAGCAGAUGUCCCAACAGGGUUAUCAAAAAGAGAUACCUACCUCAGUCUUUCCCAAAGACCUCUGGAGACUGAGUAGUGCUUGUCCUCUUCUGAGGGUAGAUGAAGAUAGUGACUUAAUUCUUUAAUUACUUUGGCGUGAGUUAAAUCCUGAGCACCUCCAUGCAUUUCUUGUGAAAUGAUUGAUACAUAGUAAUAUUGGCAGCUGUUCUCUUUUCCUCCAGCCCUUCUCUCUCCUUAGCACCUACAGGGAGAAGCCCACACUCAGGAAGAAGGUUUCUUAAUUGAGAUCUGUUAUCUGCAAGACCAUGAGGCCCACAGCUUGGCUUCACAGGACAUGCAAACCACAGGUGGCUACACUGUGCCCUUUGCUUCUCUGUGAGGCUGCCAUAGCACUGGCUCCCAGGGGCCCUACGCGUGAAGAGGGAAGCAAAUGGCUAUUGGUAAAACGUCAAUUCACCAAUUGACCCACCUGGUAAAAGCCCAAAUGAAAGGCUGAAUGGUUAAGACUGAUGAGUGAUCAAUUCUCCAAAUUAAGACAUUUAUAGGAGUUCAUAAAUGAGUUCAGCAGCCUUUGGGUAUUUUUUUUUUUUAAGUUUGUGUUGUCUACAGUUUUUAUUCUGGAAUCAUCCUCAGAUUUUUUUUCCAAACUUGUUAACUGGCCUUAUUUUGAUGCUGAAUUUGGAUGCUUUAUAUUUCAGCCACUGAACACUUCUCAUAAUAUUUUGUGCAAUAUGUGUGUUUACAUCUUUGGUUAUUUUGUAAGAUAAGUUUUAAAUUGGACAGAAUAAAAUAGGAGCAUACAUCUAUACACAUCUCCCACUAUUUAGCAUUUAAUUUAUUUUCUUUGAUGUAAUUUUUAUUAAGGUAUAAUCAGGAAUAAAAUGCUCAAACCAAUAUGUGGACUGCUUGAUGAAUUUUCCAUCACCCAAGAAAGCUUCCUCGUGCUCCUUUCCAACUUAUUUCUGUUCAAGAGGUGAGAAGCUCAGGGACCAUAAGCCAUUUCCCCCAAUGCCUCAUGAGUUUUCAGAAGCAGAACUUGGAGACAGACUUGUCUAUGUGUACAAAUUCUAUAUAUCUUCCACACACUCCGCUGCUCCAUCAUUACCCUCUGCAUCCUGGCCCGCAAGAGGAAGUCCCAGCGCUGCCCUCCUGCAUCCAGCUGUGCAGUAGAAACCUCGACAGUCAUCACAGGUCAUUGCCACAGCCCCUUUCUGACCCUCCGAGGAGCAUAUGAUUUUACACUGAUUCUUCUUCAUUUUUUGUUGUCCUCCUGGGCUCUCCUGUUCUGCAGCUUGUGUGUUUAUCUCUUAUUGUGCACGUUUAUGUACAAAUAUUUGAUUAAAUGCAACUGAAAUGAUAGUUUUCUUUGGGUCUCAAAUAAAAUCCUUUCUCAAGUAAAUG